rnacentral:snRNA from 1 species
GUGCUUGCUUUGGUGGCACAUACAUUAAAAUUGGCAUGAUACAGAAAAGAUUAGUAUGGCCCCUGUACAAGGAUGACAUACAAAUUCAUGAAGUGUUCCAUAUUUUU